rnacentral:rRNA from 1 species
UACGGAGGGUGCGAGCGUUGUCCGGAAUCACUGGGCGUAAAGGGCGCGUAGGCGGCCGGGUAAGGGGGCGGUGAAAGCCCGGGGCUCAACCCCGGGUCGGCCGUGCGGACUGCCGGGCUCGAGCACUGUAGAGGCGGGUGGAAUUCCGGGUGUAGCGGUGGAAUGCGUAGAGAUCCGGAAGAACACCGGUGGCGAAGGCGGCCCGCUGGGCAGUGGCUGACGCUGAGGCGCGACAGCGUGGGGAGCAAACAGG